rnacentral:rRNA from 1 species
AGCGAACGCUGGCGGAAUGCUUUACACAUGCAAGUCGAGCGGCAGCGCGGGGGCGAACCCUGGCGGCGAGCGGCGAACGGGUGAGUAAUACAUCGGAACGUGUCCUUAAGUGGGGGAGUAGCUCGGCGAAAGCCGGAUUAAUACCGCAUAAGCUCUGAGGAGGAAAGACGGGGGCGUCCGUAAGGACCUCGCACUGUUGGAGCGGCCGA